UACGUAGGGUCCGAGCGUUGUCCGGAAUUAUUGGGCGUAAAGGGCUCGUAGGCGGUUUGUCGCGUCUGCCGUGAAAGUCCGGGCUCAACUCCGGAUCUGCGGUGGGUACGGGCAGACUAGAGUGAUGUAGGGGAGACUGGAAUUCCUGGUGUAGCGGUGAAAUGCGCAGAUAUCAGGAGGAACACCGGUGGCGAAGGCGGGUCUCUGGGCCGAUACUGACGCUGAGGAGCGAAAGCGUGGGGAGCGAACAGG
rnacentral:rRNA from 1 species